rnacentral:rRNA from 1 species
CAGGAUUACGCUGGCGGCGUGCCUAACACAUGGCAGGUCGAACGAAAUAUCUCCGGAUAUUUAGUGGCGAACGGGUGAGUAAUGUACAGGUAAUGUACCUUCGUACUGCGAAUAACAAGCUGAAAAGUUUGCUAAUACGGAAUAGUUUCCUUCGAGGGCAUCCUUAAAGGAAUAAAGAUUUAUCGUGCGGAGAUCAGCCUGUAUCCUAUUAGUUAGUUGGUGGGGUAAUGGCCUACCAAGACGACGAUGGGUAACUGGUCUGAGAGGAUGAGCAGUCACAUUGGAACUGAGAAACGGUCCAAACUCCUACGGGAGGCAGCAGUGAGGAAUUUUGCGCAAUGGGGGAAACCCUGACGCCAGCAACGCCGCGUGAGUGAAGACGGCCUUCGGGUUGUAAAGCUCUGUCGUGUGUGGCGAGUAGGGACGGUAACACACAAGGAAGCCUCGGCUAACUACGUGCCAGCCGCCGC